AAAUUGUGGUAAAAUAUAUUAAAAAUCGGUGGCAUUAUGUCGCCGUACGCCGUACGGAGUAACUACUGCUGUAGUAGUAGUAGUCAGCAAAUCUAUCCGAAGGCCGACCACCAUCAAAUACGUACAUACGUAUGCAUGGGCAGCAUUGCAAGAUGCAGGGCGUUGUCUAUGCGCCCAUGGGGAUGGGUUUGACAUUUGACGGCGAUACCGAAAUAGACAAGAUGGACAUUCAUGAUGAUGCAUUUCUGAUACGUUCCAUUCGUAGGGGAAAAAAAAGCCGGUUGGAUUGGAAAUGAAAAGAAGAAUAUGCACAACAAGCCCGAUGCAUUCGAGUUUCACCUAGACUCGAUUCAAACUUGGCCCUCGAGAUAAGCCAAAUAAUGAAUAACGCCCGUUCAUACCAUACAUCAAAGUUAUCUGAGUGAUGCUUCAAGUCCGGAGACGAGGGUCGUAUGUAGCACAUGUUCCGGGUUGUGUAACCAACCCCAGAAAAAAGAGAGAAAAAAGGGCUAUGUCUUGUAGGGUUAUGUAUGUCGUUGUUGCAUGCUAAGUUAACAAGCGCGGUCAAAGCCCUUGCAUGUCCAAUUUUUUACUUUGCUUCUUUUCCUGUCUUGUUUUGUUAUAUAUAUAUUUGACUUUUUGCGUUCUCGCGGUAUGUAUGUAUGCAUCCUGCAAUGCAACCCUCACUCACUCGGACCCCUGGA
rnacentral:lncRNA from 1 species